GCCUGGGUGGCGGAAUCGGUAGACGCAGCAGACUUAAAAUUUGCCAGCCACAAGCUGUACGGGUUCGAGUCCCGUCCCAGGCACCA
rnacentral:tRNA from 4 species